ensembl:lincRNA
UCAACAGGACUGAUGUUCUAACAAAAAGAGGAAGAGACAUCAGGAGUACUUGCAUACAGAGAAAACACAAUGUGAGGACACAACGAGAAGGCAGCCAACUGCAAACCAAGGAGAGACCUCACAAGAUACCAGUGCUGUCUGCGCCUUGAUAUUGGACUUCCCAGACUCCAGAACCGUGAGAAAAACAUGUCUGUUAUUUAAGUCACACCAUCUGUGGCAUUUUGUUAUGGCAGUCCAAGCAGUCUAAUAGAGAAGCUGAUAGGCAAAGAUAGAAAUGCAUGAUUAGAGAACUUGAAGGGAAGAUCUUAGAGAAAGGACAGCAUGUUAAAGCCUGGUCAUCAAAGUGUCUGUUAAUUCAGGGUCUGGUGAAACGUCAGUGAGGCAGGAGCCCAGGGUAACUGGAGAAAACUGGGAAAGGAAAAAAAGUACUGAAAUGUUUCGGAAAGAGCCUUGAAUGCUAAAGUUAACAAUUUCUAACUAAUUGUGUUUGCGGUAAGAAAUGAGCAGAAAUGUUAAAUAGAAGAGUGGCAUGAUUACAUUUUAAUAGGUUCUUUUACAGAGUGUGUGAAAGAUAUCACAUGCAGCAAGGUGGAAUGAAAUAUUAAGGGGAAUAACAGGUUGGAGAUACGUACAAUAAAUCAGGAGCACAACGGGAUGCUCUGUUGCCAUGACUAUGAAGGUCAGAACUCAGCCUGCUGCCCAUGGUACCAAAGAUCAUGAUUCUCUCUUCGUGCAUGGCUGUUCCCAAUAGCCUGCACAAAGACGUGUCUGCAGUUGCCACUUCUAUCCAUCUGUCUACUUUUAGCAGGUACUUUAACAAAUACUUUGUUUUUCUCUCUCCUUUAUUUAUUUUUUCUUUUUUAUUUUCUUUUCAGUGUUGUAGAGUUAGAGUUAUUAUUUUUUUCUCACACAAUUCCGUCUCUGUAGAUACAAAGUCCAAAUCCCUAGCCGUUGUAAUUAUUAGCAUAUUCCUGGAGAAAAUUGCAACAGUCUACAUUAAAGGACUCCCUGCAGAAAUUUACACAAUUUUUGAGCACCUGUGUACAAGUCACUUGUGAAGGACAAUGAAAUGCAUUCCAUGAAUUAGUACCAAGGAAAAAUUCUGAUCUGAUUAGAAUGUUUGCUACUUCUCCAGGACAGGAAAUGUACAGAGUGGGCUGAGAUGAAGAGGAUAGCAGAAAAAGAAAAUUAACAAGGCUGGUUCUAAGGACAUGGGUAGUUUGUUUCCUGAGAAGCAAAUUUAUUUUUCCAAGGAGAUUUAAAAGUUUGUCACAUUGCCUAUGCAACACCAGACUAUGUUUCAUGCAUACAUUUGUGCAAUAUACACACAUACACAGGAAUGACAUUAGAAAAGAGACAAAUGGACUCAUUUCUAUUGGCUGGAAGUUAUCCUCAGACCUAUCUCAGAGCAUGCUGCUUUGAAAUUGUCACUACCACUUAACUAUAAUACGAAAAAUGAUUUAAAAUACAAGAAUUAGGUAAAAGGAUUUGCAGCAUCUUCUUUCAAUCUUACACUGAGGCAGUGUUUAACAGUAUCAACCAAAGAUCAUUUAUACUAGGGGAAUACAGUUGGUUUGACCCACUGUUUUCUACUGAGUAAAAACUUAAUACACUAUAUGUUAACUUACAGAUUUUGGUGCAGUAGAAAUGUGAAUAGCUUCCGUUAGGGAGAAAGGAUGACCCCCAAGCAGGGUUGCCUGUGGAACCCUAGUUGGGCUUGCUUUAUCCUAUUAUUCUUGCACUAAUGUUGUUUCAAAAUGCCCAUAAAAAUCCAAAUUCUCAAAAUGCCCUUUGGACCAGACUUACCAUCUUAAUGGUUUUCUCAUGUUAAGUUAAGUUUAGCCUAAAGCUGCCUCUUUACAUAUUUUAAGUUCAGCCUAGGUUUUUCUGUACAUCGUAAACUGUAACAAGUAGAAGUAUAAACAGGCCAUAGCCUACUCUUGUGCCAAUCACUGAGUUUUGGCUGAUCAAAUGUGGCCAAAUGUUCAAACCAUGUUCAAAUAAGGCAAAUGCCAAGCUAUAACCAAUCCAGCUGUACUUCACAUUUGUUUUGUCACUUUCCUUUUUCUGUCCAUACAUCUUUUUCCAAACGUGGCUGCUAGAGUCUCUGAGCCUACUCUGGCUCGGGAGACUGCCUGAUUCACAAAUCGGUUCUUUGCUCAAUUAAACUCUUUUAAAUUUAAUUUGGC